rnacentral:miRNA from 1 species
AUGGAUUGAUAGAUAUGUAGGUU